UUUCCGUAGGUGAACCCGGGGAAAGGAUCAUUGUUGAACCU
rnacentral:rRNA from 1 species